GAUGAACGCUAGCUACAGGCUUAACACAUGCAAGUCGAGGGUCCGGCGCACGGGUGAGUAACACGUAUCCAACCUGCCCUUUACUCGGGGAUAGCCUUUUGAAAGCAAGAUUAAUACCCGAUAUAAAGGGAGUGGAUGCGUUCCAUUAGGUUGUUGGUGGGGUAACGGCUCACCAAGCAGUCGCUGGAUAGGGGUUCUGAGAGGAAGGUCGCCCACGUUGGAACUGUGGAACGGUCCAAACUCCUACGGGAGGCAGCAGUGAGGAAUAUUGGUAAAUGGGCGCUAGCCUGAACCAGCCAAGUAGCGUGAAGGAUGAAGGAUUAUGGGUCGUAAACUUCUUUUAUAUAAGAAUAUGUAUUAUAUGAAUAAGCACCGGCUAACUACGUGCCAGCAGCCGCGGUAAUUC
rnacentral:rRNA from 1 species